rnacentral:misc_RNA from 1 species
UGUGGGAGCGAGCUUGCUCGCGAUGGCGGUGUGUCAGUCGAUAUCAAUAAGGCUGAUCCAACGCUAUCGCGAGCAAGCUCGCUCCCACA